UGCCUAAUACAUGCAAGUAGAACGCUGAAGACUUUAGNCUUGCUAAAGUUGGAAGAGUUGCGAACGGGUGAGUAACGCGUAGGUAACCUGCCUACUAGCGGGGGAUAACUAUUGGAAACGAUAGCUAAUACCGCAUAACAGCAUUUAACACAUGUUAGAUGCUUGAAAGGAGCAAUUGCUUCACUAGUAGAUGGACCUGCGUUGUAUUAGCUAGUUGGUGAGGUAACGGCUCACCAAGGCGACGAUACAUAGCCGACCUGAGAGGGUGAUCGGCCACACUGGGACUGAGACACGGCCCAGACUCCUACGGGAGGCAGCAGUAGGGAAUCUUCGGCAAUGGGGGCAACCCUGACCGAGCAACGCCGCGUGAGUGAAGAAGGUUUUCGGAUCGUAAAGCUCUGUUGUAAGAGAAGAACGUGUGUGAGAGUGGAAAGUUCACACAGUGACGGUAACUUACCAGAAAGGGACGGCUAACUACGUGCCAGCAGCCGCGGUAAUACGUAGGUCCCGAGCGUUGUCCGGAUUUAUUGGGCGUAAAGCGAGCGCAGGCGGUUUAAUAAGUCUGAAGUAAAAGGCAGUGGCUUAACCAUUGUUCGCUUUGGAAACUGUUAGACUUGAGUGCAGAAGGGGAGAGUG
rnacentral:rRNA from 1 species